GAAUGCUGACAUAAGUAACGAUAAAGCGGGUGAAAAGCCCGCUCGCCGGAAGACCAAGGGUUCCUGUCCAACGUUAAUCGGGGCAGGGUGAGUCGACCCCUAAGGCGAGGCCGAAAGGCGUAGUCGAUGGGAAACAGGUUAAUAUUCCUGUACUUGGUGUUACUGCGAAGGGGGGACGGAGAAGGCUAUGUUGGCCGGGCGACGGUUGUCCCGGUUUAAGCGUGUAGGCUGGUUUUCCAGGCAAAUCCGGAAAAUCAAGGCUGAGGCGUGAUGACGAGGCACUACGGUGCUGAAGCGACAAAUGCCCUGCUUCCAGGAAAAGCCUCUAAGCAUCAGGUAACAUCAAAUCGUACCCCAAACCGACACAGGUGGUCAGGUAGAGAAUACCAAGGCGCUUGAGAGAACUCGGGUGAAGGAACUAGGCAAAAUGGUGCCGUAACUUCGGGAGAAGGCACGCUGAUAUGUAGGUGAAGCGACUUGCUCGUGGAGCUGAAAUCAGUCGAAGAUACCAGCUGGCUGCAACUGUUUAUUAAAAACACAGCACUGUGCAAACACGAAAGUGGACGUAUACGGUGUGACGCCUGCCCGGUGCCGGAAGGUUAAUUGAUGGGGUUAGCGGUAACGCGAAGCUCUUGAUCGAAGCCCCGGUAAACGGCGGCCGUAACUAUAACGGUCCUAAGGUAGCGAAAUUCCUUGUCGGGUAAGUUCCGACCUGCACGAAUGGCGUAAUGAUGGCCAGGCUGUCUCCACCCGAGACUCAGUGAAAUUGAACUCGCUGUGAAGAUGCAGUGUACCCGCGGCAAGACGGAAAGACCCCGUGAACCUUUACUAUAGCUUGACACUGAACAUUGAGCCUUGAUGUGUAGGAUAGGUGGGAGGCUUUGAAGUGUGGACGCCAGUCUGCAUGGAGCCGACCUUGAAAUACCACCCUUUAAUGUUUGAUGUUCUAACGUGGGCCCCUUACCGGGGUUGCGGACAGUGUCUGGUGGGUAGUUUGACUGGGGCGGUCUCCUCCUAAAGAGUAACGGAGGAGCACGAAGGUUGGCUAAUCCUGGUCGGACAUCAGGAGGUUAGUGCAAUGGCAUAAGCCAGCUUGACUGCGAGCGUGACGGCGCGAGCAGGUGCGAAAGCAGGUCAUAGUGAUCCGGUGGUUCUGAAUGGAAGGGCCAUCGCUCAACGGAUAAAAGGUACUCCGGGGAUAACAGGCUGAUACCGCCCAAGAGUUCAUAUCGACGGCGGUGUUUGGCACCUCGAUGUCGGCUCAUCACAUCCUGGGGCUGAAGUAGGUCCCAAGGGUAUGGCUGUUCGCCAUUUAAAGUGGUACGCGAGCUGGGUUUAGAACGUCGUGAGACAGUUCGGUCCCUAUCUGCCGUGGGCGCUGGAGAACUGAGGGGGGCUGCUCCUAGUACGAGAGGACCGGAGUGGACGCAUCACUGGUGUUCGGGUUGUCAUGCCAAUGGCACUGCCCGGUAGCUAAAUGCGGAAGAGAUAAGUGCUGAAAGCAUCUAAGCACGAAACUUGCCCCGAGAUGAGUUCUCCCUGACUCCUUGAGAGUCCUGAAGGAACGUUGAA
rnacentral:rRNA from 2 species